AGUAGAUAUCACCAGUCCUAGUGAACUGCAGCAUGUUCGACAGAGCUCGAUUUUUAACAAUAGUGGAACCCGGCCCCGGGAAACAGUGAUCGGAAGUCAAGAAAGUAUACAGUUUGGGUUGGAUGGAUCACAACCGGUGGAGCAUGGGUUGGAUGGAUCACAACCGGUGGAGCAUGGGUUCGAUGGA